rnacentral:rRNA from 1 species
UUAGAUACCCUAUUAUUAAAAUUUAAAUUGAAAAUACUAAAAUAGUAGAUAAUUAUUUAUUGAAACUUAAAUAAUUUGGCGGUAUUUUAGUUCAUUUAGAGGAAUCUGUUUAAUAAUUGAUAAUCCACGAAUAAAUUUACUUAAUUUUUUAUUUUGUAUAUCGUUGUUAAAAAAAUAUUUUUUAAUAAUAAUAAUAUUUAAAAAUUUUGAUUAAAAAUUAAAUCAGAUCAAGAUGCAGAUUAUAAUUAAGAAUAUAAUGGAUUACAAUAAAUUUAUUUAGAUGAAUAUUAAUUUGUAAAAGUUAAUUGAAGGUGGAUUUAAA